UCUCGCUCCAGUGCCAAACCCUAGCGGCAUCUGUGAUUUCGCUUGCUCCUCCCUUUGCCUAGCUGCCUGUCCAAGAACAAAGUGCGAAUUGUGAGCUUCAGUUCUCUAUUGUGAUGUGCUGUCUUUUUCGUGCUGCAUCAGAUCUGCUAUCUCUUGAUCUGAUUUCCGAUUCUUUGUUGUGGUUGUAUAGGUGCAGAGUUCUCAUGCCGGCGGUGACAUGAGGUCUGGAAGUGGUCCCUAAAGAAGAAAGUGAGCAGUCAGUUGCAUAGGAGAAUAUCAAGGUGAAUAAUACAUACUUGAUGACUUCUGAAGCUUAAGACUGUUGUUGUCUCCCGUGUAGUCAGAAAAUUGCAAAGAUCAUUUCUUGCUAAAGUAAGAGAGGUUCAUUGGUGUCAAGUUGCUGCGACUUUUACCCAUUUGUUCUCCAAGGAUUUGCAAGGGUAUUGUUUGAGAGGGUUCAGUUUAAAUGGCUGGUACCCCGUGUGAGAGGGUUGCAAGGUGUCGUGAAAAGAGAAAAAAGAGACAUCUUGCGAUUGCGCAAGGU